rnacentral:rRNA from 1 species
CCUUCGGGGUUGUAAAGCUCUUUCGGCCGGAACGAAAUCGACUAGGCCAAUACCCUGGUCGGAUGACGGUACCGGAAGAAGAAGCACCGGCUAACUACGUGCCAGCAGCCGCGGUAAUACGUAGGGUGCAGGCGUUAAUCGGAAUUACUGGGCGUAAAGCGUGCGCAGGCGGCUUCCUAAGUCAGAUGUGAAAUCCCCGGGCUCAACCUGGGAACUGCGUUUGAAACUGGGAGGCUAGAGUGCGGCAGAGGGAGGUGGAAUUCCACGUGUAGCAGUGAAAUGCGUAGAUAUGUGGAGGAACACCGAUGGCGAAGGCAGCCUCCUGGGCCAGCACUGACGCUCAUGCACGAAAGCGUGGGGAGCAAACAGGAUUAGAUACCCUGGUAGUCCACGCCCUAAACUAUGUCGACUAGUUGUUGGGGGAGUCUGUCCCUCAGUAACGUAGCUAACGCGUGAAGUCGACCGCCUGGGGAGUACGGUCGCAAGAUUAAAACUCAAAGGAAUUGACGGGGA